UACGUAGGGUGCGAGCGUUGUCCGGAAUUACUGGGCGUAAAGAGCUCGUAGGUGGUUUGUCGCGUUGUUCGUGAAAUCUCACGGCUUAACUGUGAGCGUGCGGGCGAUACGGGCAGACUGGAGUACUGCAGGGGAGACUGGAAUUCCUGGUGUAGCGGUGGAAUGCGCAGAUAUCAGGAGGAACACCGAUGGCGAAGGCAGGUCUCUGGGCCAUAACUGACGCUGAGAAGCGAAAGCAUGGGGGAGCGAACAGG
rnacentral:rRNA from 1 species